AUGCUAUGGAAGCGGCAGAUUCCAUCUACCUUCCAAUAGGGAAAGUAAAACAGGAAGUCAAGGUUGUUGGUUUUUGUUUGUUUGUUUUUUAAGGAUGUGGGAAUAUAGGCACUUUCAAAGAUGGGAAAAAACAAAGGUCAAAGGAGGAGCUGGUGAAUGACUUGAUGACUUGCCUGGGGACCUGCUCAGCUACUAAGGACACAGCCUUUUGACUCCUAUUCCAGUGUUCUUUCUACUUCACCACAAACCCCCCCCGCAAGACUCAGCCUUCUCUACACACCCAGCCUUGUGUGAAGCAAGUGCCAAGUACUCUUCAGGGGACUUCCAUCUCCAAAUCCAAUAGGCAGCUCACUUCCAAGAGGCGUCCAGCCCCUCCAGGCACCUUUGGCCUCUCCCAACCCUGACUCCCAGGGCCUGAAUACACUACAUAGUCAACAUGGACAGAGAUCCAUUUCAGCUUCUCACGUUUCUGACCAACGGGGAGAAGGCAGAGGCCAGGAUACUCCACAUG